rnacentral:lncRNA from 1 species
UAAAUUGUCUACUUUAUCCAUUCCAAACAAAACUAAAAUCAAUUGCUAACGUGGUCUACGGUACACUCGUUCUAAAAUGCUAAUGCAAAUAAAGGUAAAGCAAGUUAAAUGGAAUAAACUAUCUUUUAGUAAAGAAGAUUAAACGAAAACCAUGAAAUCUACUCCGUUGCCGUGAAACAGAGCGAGCCAAAUGUUUGCAAAUAAAGGUAAAGCAUGUAAGUUAAAUGGAAUAAACUAUCUGUUAGUAAAGAAGAUUAAAAGAAACCCAUGGAAUCUCCUCCGUUGCCGUGAAACAGAGCGAGCCAAAUGUUUAACAGAUAAUCCACUUCUUUGUACAAAUUCUAGAUCCCAAACAACCACAAGAACAGCAGUAUCUACGAUCCAUACGAAUUAAACUAGAUUUCGAACUCAAGAUACUCAAAUCAAUUUGGCAGUGGUAUUCGUAAACAAACAAUCCCAUUUAUAAGCCAAAAAACAAAUUACAUCAACAUGAGAACAUACAUUUCAGAGAUUCAUAAGAAGCAGGUAGGCGAAAUAUCUCGAUAGCAAUACUACAGAUUGAGAUUACCAAAUGAAAUCUGAAAUAAUGGGGUUAAACUCGACGCGCUCAAGCAGGGUGCUCGACAACAGUAGCAGCAGCAAUUUGAGACCCAAUUAACCAACAGCUUUCAAUGGUGUCCAGAAAAUAUGCAACAGUAGAAUGAAAUCCAACACCAGUUUUAAAUCUCCCUUUUUAGAUCUAGUUGUGCGAAAAUUGGCUAAAAACACCAAAUGAAUAGACAAAAGGACCAAAUGAAGCUCAACAAGACAACAACUCCAUGGCUGAAAACCUUUAGGAAACCCAGACAGAAGGGAAAAUUUCGAAAUCAGUCCCCUUCAAACCCCAUUGAAAAUUCCAGUUUUCUCAUUUCUCUUGUUUCAACAAUUUCGUGUGUGCUUCUGAUUUUUCCUUCGAUCGAGUUUUUGUUUUUUUUCUUUUUUUCUUGAUUUUUGAGUGAGAUUAGAGAUGGGUGGCUAAGGUUUUUUGGUUAGAGGAGGGGUUAAGGUUUUUUGGUUAGAGGAAGGGGUUCUCGUUUUCCCUUUGUAGAGAGAGGUGUCGUUCUCUCUAUUUCUGGGAGCCGAUUUUGGUGUGUGUGAGAUCUCCCCCGAGAAUGGAGAAGAAGGAAAGGGUAAAUAGCUGGUACCCAACAUUGGAGAAGGAAGCACGCUAUUUUCGUGUCUCUAAGGGGAAGGAGUACGGACCGGGUCAGCGAAUGGGUUAUGGGCGGAUGGGGCGUGGACUAAGGGUGUUUCUUUUGGGCUGGGCGAAUUUAUUUUUCUGAUU